UCAAGUCUAUUUAUUAUUGAGCUUCUCAUUUGUACAAGUCUGACAUCACUUUUGUUUUUAUCUUUUAUUUUCCCAAAUCAUUGACGGUAACUUUACAGUAAAACACAUCUGCUGAGAUGUAGAUUUACAGACGAGAGCGAAGAGGAGGAGGAGGAAGGAGAGGAAGGAGAGGAAGAGGAGGAGGGGGUGGAUGAUGUGGUUUCUUUCAGUGAUGAUGAAAACACUCGUGUCCACUUCAGUCUCUUUCUUCUGCUGAUGCUGGUGUUUGUAAUCAAUUAAUUAAAAGAAAUAAAGAAAACGACAGAAAAUGCUGUGGGUGUGACGGUAUCCUGUUUGGGGGGCGUGGUCAGUGGAGAUCCUGUUUGGGGGCGUGGCCAGUGGAGAUCCUGUUUGGGGGCGUGGUCUGUCAUGUGACCUCCGACCCUCCUCCUUUGUGCUCAAACCUGACAUCGUAAAGUCCAGGGUCAUGUGAUAUUUACAGCAACCAAUCAGGAGGAGUUUGGAAAAUCAAACAGGAAGCAGUGAUUUCUAAAUGUGGUGGAAUGUAACGAAGUACAGGUGGUUCAUUUGGUUCCAUUUUCUGCUGUUUCAACCUUCAUCUCAGAGUCAAAUACUGGACUUUUAACUUCGUUCAUUUGACAAAUUUAGAUUCAACA